GUAGCCGGGUCGGGAGAUUCGUCAGUUGGUAGUUCAGAUUGUCGCGCCGCCAAACGGGAGGACGGAGGAGUACUUUUUGUCUCAAUUUUUCUUCGGGAGGGGGUGAUUUUUUGCCUCGAAUUGGAUUUCUCAAAUGGACGGACAUGAAUGAGGACCACUGGUUACAUUUUCUCGGCGCCCCUUUCGCGGAGAAAUGCUUAGUGAGGGGCGUUUACCGUGUUUUUUCCAGCCUGUUUUUCCUAACAGGUAGCGAGCGGCAGCAGCGGUCAGUCAGUGUGCCGCUGAAAAGAGACUGAAUAUCCCGCUUUGUAAUCUCCUGACAGCCCUUUUAACCCAUCCGUGGAUUGACGGAGGGAUCUGGGAACAGCUUUACUCUCAUCACAACCAUGGAUAUCGUGUUUUUUUCACUCUGUUAUUCAUGAUUUGUAACAGAUUUGCGGCCACCGAUCGACAUGAAGAAAGUGGACGGUGUGGAUUAGGAUCUUUUUAUUUCCCCCCCCUUCUUUUUCUAUUUUCUGUUGUUUUCUUGGGGCUUCAUCCUCCUCACGUCAAUGUGGGCUCUGAAGGACCUCUCCCCACUUUGUGGUUUGGAAUAAGUGAUGGCAGCGCGUUGGAGUGAUUCCCCAAAGGACACUGAAGAGCGGAAACACUCAGCCGUAACUCCCACCUGUCAGCGGUUACAUCAUUAUAAUCAUCACUAUGAGCCAGCUCUGCACCGGCGGCAUGUUUCGGAUUAAUCCAUCAUCAGAAAAUGGCAACAGUGUGUGCCUGUAAUCCUCUUACUGUGUCAGAACGAGCUGAGGAUGGAUGAUAUAAACCUAUCAGCAUCCUGAUAGAGAGAGUUACAAACUGCAAAUAAAUAAAGCAGAAGUCGGUAACUCAGUGAUUUUCCUGAGGUUGGUUGUGAUGUGUGAUUGUCUGAUGGAAGUGACCAGAGCGUUGUUGAAAGUGUAUUAGUGGCGCCGUUUUGGAGAAAUCUCAUUAACCGAGGCGUGGUUUUGUAGCUUUUAGCUUCCAUGAAAUCUUUCCCCUUGCAUCCAUCUCUGCAAUCUAAUAAAUACUUCCCACAGCAACACUCUGCUCUGCCUCUCUGCGGAAAACUAAAACCACCACAUCCUCUCAAACUCCCAGCUGUUAGGCAGAAACAUCCGAAGCACAUCAAUCAGUUUCAAAACUCGAUUUCCCUUCACCACAAAGGACUCUGUACCAGCUGAUCAAAGAUGAUUUCUGACAGUCUAUAUCAAAAAAAUUAAACACAAUUUCUUACUUUUGUCCAUAAAA